UACAGAGGUCUCAAGCGUUGUUCGGAUUCAUUGGGCGUAAAGGGUGCGUAGGUGGCGAGGUAAGUCGGGUGUGAAAUCCUGGGGCUCAACCCCAGAACUGCAUUCGAUACUGCUUUGCUCGAGUACUGGAGAGGAGAUUGGAAUUUACGGUGUAGCAGUGAAAUGCGUAGAUAUCGUAAGGAAGACCAGUGGCGAAGGCGAGUCUCUGGACAGCAACUGACGCUGAGGCACGGAAGGCCCAGGGGAGCAAACGGGG
rnacentral:rRNA from 1 species